rnacentral:misc_RNA from 1 species
GAUGAAGAACGUAGCGAAACGCGAAAGGUAAUGCGAAUUGCAGAAUCAGUGAGUCAUCGAAUCUUUGAACGCACAUUGCGCCCUUUGGUAUUCCGAAGGGCAUGCCUGUUCGAGCGUCAUUAUCACCCCUCAAGCCCUCGGCUUGGUGUUGGACGGUUUGGUGGAGGCCCCCUCGGGGGCUCCUGCCCCUCCCAAAGACAAUGACGGCGGCCUCGUUGGACCCCCGGUACACUGAGUUCUUCACGGGACACGUAUCGGACACAUGGGUUUACGGGACACGGUCUGCCUCCCCUCAGGGAGAAUCUUUCUAAGGUUGACCUCGGAUCAGGUAGGGAUACCCGCUGAACUUAAGCAUAUCAAUAAGCGGAGGA